rnacentral:rRNA from 1 species
UACGUAGGGUGCGAGCGUUAAUCGGAAUUACUGGGCGUAAAGCGUGCGCAGGCGGUUUUGUAAGCCAGGUGUGAAAUCCCCGGGCUCAACCUGGGAAUGGCAUUUGGGACUGCAAGGCUGGAGUGCGGCAGAGGAGACUGGAAUUCCUGGUGUAGCAGUGAAAUGCGUAGAUAUCAGGAGGAACACCUGUGGUGUAGACAGCUUACUGGACCAUUACUGACACUGAGACACGAAAGCGUGGGUAGCAAACAGG